rnacentral:lncRNA from 1 species
AAGAGGUCUCUUAAAUUAGAGAACAGCAAGGCCAGAGAAAUUCUAUCAUAAAAAGGUCAUGGAAGCAACUUAAAAGCUAAUACAUAAGCCCUUUGAAAAAAAAAAAAUCAUUCAAACAUUCUGUAUGAUUCCCUCAAGAGUUGAAUCAUAUCAAGUUAAACACCCUUUGAACUUCAGAAGCUUCACAAACAUUGGAGUUGAAAUAUGCACUAGACAGCACCAGUUUAAACAGAGAUUAAGCAAAGAGAAAAUUAAAGAUUAUGGAAUGUAUAUAGCUCCUAGAAAAUGAAAUUCACUUUUUAAUGAAAGUUAAGAGGGGGUAAGUAAGACAACAAAGACUAUGAAAUUCACAUUUUGUAAAGUUAAGAGGAGGUAAGUAAGACAACAAAGACUAUGAAAUUCACAUUUUGUAAAGUUAAGAGCGUGUAGGUAAGACAACAAAGAUUGUGGGAAGGGACAAGGAAACCACAUCAAGUGAAAGUUCAUACAGGUGAGACAAAUAGACUACAAAGAACAUGGAUCCUAAAAAAAUUAAAAUAACUUUUAAGGAAUAAAGAGCAGGUAU